UACGAGGGGGCUAGCGUUGCUCGGAAUUACUGGGCGUAAAGGGCGCGUAGGCGGCACUGUUAGUCAGGCGUGAAAGUCCUGGGCUCAACCUGGGAACUGCGCUUGAUACGGCAGAGCUAGAGGAUGGAAGAGGGUCGCGGAAUUCCCAGUGUAGAGGUGAAAUUCGUAGAUAUUGGGAAGAACACCGGUGGCGAAGGCGGCGACCUGGUCCAUUACUGACGCUGAGGCGCGACAGCGUGGGGAGCAAACAGG
rnacentral:rRNA from 1 species